rnacentral:rRNA from 1 species
AUGAACGCUGGCGGCGUGCCUAAUCCAUGCAAGUCGAGCGAACAGACGAGGAGCUUGCUCCUCUGACGUUAGCGGCGGACGGGUGAGUAACACGUGGAUAACCUACCUAUAAGACUGGGAUAACUUCGGGAAACCGGAGCUAAUACCGGAUAAUAUAUUGAACCGCAUGGUUCAAUAGUGAAAGACGGUUUUGCUGUCACUUAUAGAUGGAUCCGCGCCGCAUUAGCUAGUUGGUAAGGUAACGGCUUACCAAGGCAACGAUGUGUAGCCGACCUGAGAGGGUGAUCGGCCACACUGGAACUGAGACACGGUCCAGACUCCUACGGGAGGCAGCAGUAGGGAAUCUUCCGCAAUGGGCGAAAGCCUGACGGAGCAACGCCGCGUGAGUGAUGAAGGUCUUCGGAUCGUAAAACUCUGUUAUUAGGGAAGAACAAAUGUGUAAGUAACUAUGCACGUCUUGACGGUACCUAAUCAGAAAGCCACGGCUAACUACGUG